rnacentral:rRNA from 1 species
UACGUAGGGGGCAAGCGUUGUCCGGAUUUAUUGGGCGUAAAGAGCGUGUAGGCGGCCAUACAGGUCCGUUGUGAAAACUGGAGGCUUAACCUCCAGACGUCGAUGGAAACCGUAUGGCUAGAGUCCGGAAGAGGAGAGUGGAAUUCCGUGGUGUAGCGGUGAAAUGCGCAGAUAUCAGGAAGAACACCCGUGGCGAAGGCGGCUCUCUGGGACGGUACUGACGCUGAGACGCGAAAGCGUGGGGAGCGAAUGGG